rnacentral:rRNA from 1 species
AAUGAACGUUGGCGGCGUGGAUUAGGCAUGCAAGUCGAGCGCGAACCCCGCAAGGGGUGAAAGCGGCGAAAGGGAGAGUAACGCGUGGGUAUUUACCCUCGGGACUGGGAUAGCUGCGGGAAACUGCAGGUAAUACCAGAUGACGUCCCCGGACCAAAGGUGUGAUUCCGCCUGAGGAUAAGCCCGCGUCCUAUUAGCUAGUUGGUGAGGUAAUGGCUCACCAAGGCAAUGAUGGGUACUGGGUGUGAGAGCACGACCCAGCUCACUGGGACUGAUACACGGCCCAGACACCUACGGGUGGCUGCAGUCGAGAAUCUUCGGCAAUGGGCGCAAGCCUGACCGAGCGACGCCGCGUGUGGGAUGAAGGCCUUCGGGUUGUAAACCGCUGUCAGAGGGGAGGAAUGGGCGGAGGGUAAUCUCUUCGUUUUGACCUAUCCUCAGAGGAAGUACGGGCUAAGUUCGUGCCAGCCGCCGCCGUAA